rnacentral:rRNA from 1 species
AACGAACGCUGGCGGCAGGCCUAACACAUGCAAGUCGAGCGAACCCUUCGGGGUUAGCGGCGGACGGGUUAGUAACGCGUGGGAAUAUACCCUUUGGUACGGAAUAGCCUCGGGAAACUGAGAGUAAUACCGUAUGUGCCCUUCGGGGGAAAGAUUUAUCGCCAAAGGAUUAGCCCGCGUUGGAUUAGAUAGUUGGUGGGGUAAUGGCCUACCAAGUCUACGAUCCAUAGCUGGUUUGAGAGGAUGAUCAGCAACACUGGGACUGAGACACGGCCCAGACUCCUACGGGAGGCAGCAGUGGGGAAUCUUAGACAAUGGGCGCAAGCCUGAUCUAGCCAUGCCGCGUGACGAUGAAGGCCUUAGGGUUGUAAAGUCCUUUCAGAUGGGAAGAUAAUGACGGUACCAUCAGAAGAAGCCCCGGCUAACUCCGUG